rnacentral:rRNA from 1 species
GACGUAGGGGGCGAGCGUUGUCCGGAUUUAUUGGGCGUAAAGCGUGCGUAGGCGGCUGCGCAAGUCGGUUGUGAAACCCCGGGGCUCAACCCCGGAACUGCGUCCGAUACUGCGUGGCUAGAGGUAGGUAGGGGAGAUCGGAAUUCCUGGUGUAGCGGUGAAAUGCGCAGAUAUCAGGAGGAACACCGGUGGCGAAGGCGGAUCUCUGGGCCUUACCUGACGCUCAGGCGCGAAAGCUAGGGGAGCGAACAGG